ensembl:lncRNA
AGGGGGGAGAGAAUGGAGAGAAAUAGUUGUUCGCAUCAGCAUAGUUUAAGUAGUUCAUAAAAUUCAGAGUUUAAGACCUACUUAAAUUAACAAUAAGCAAAAUAAUGAAAAGGAAAAAAAAAAGCACACCAAGUUCCUGAAGCUACUCCUGCAUUAAGGCCUUCUUCCCUCCGCCAGCCAGAUUUCCCAGUGCCCUCAGAGAGGAGGAGAUGCAAUUACAGAGCAUGAGGAAGCUGGAGCAAAACAAGAAAAGCAUGAAGAAAGAAGGAAAGACUCACAGACUGUGGGUGAUAGCAGCAGUCCAGGCUGCAAUAAUCUAACCAGUACUCUCAAUACACAGGCUUUGAUGCCACUGGAAGAGGUGUUUGCCAGCCCUGCGAAGUCAAUCUGAAAGGGAAGUUUAAUGCCCUCAGAGUAAUCGCAUGGAGCCUUAUCUACAAUUACAGAUGCACAUACAAUUCCACAUUUGGAAUUCAUAAAGCAACAAUUGCAGUUAAGAGCUGAUGACUGAAUGCAAUGAGUGACUCGCUGUUAUGUGGCAGAGCAAUGAGAAGCACAACUGUCUUUAGACUCAAAUGCCUUUCUGAAGAGACAUUAUGCUGAAUACCAAAAGGUAAGUUAGCAAUUUAGGACAUAUAUACAACAGCUCAAUCUUCCAGCUGUGAGAAAAUAUAUCGUUGGAUAAUAAUUAGCUAAGAUUAAAAAUAAAUAAAUUGGGGGAAAAAAAUCCCAUGAGCUUACUGUUGGUAACAAAAUGGUAAAGCAUGAAUGUCCAGGUCACAGCAUCUAUUAAACCAGCUAUCUCCUUCUGUACAACCUGUGUUAAAAUUGUCACAAACAAUUGUUAUCAAAAGAAUUCGGGUCAAGUAAAUCUUGGCAAACAGACAUACUGUGGUGAAUUAGGAAGUUUGUGGACACAUAUCAAACACUCUGCAGGCCAUCAGAAAGUAAACAGAAAGCAGAAUGAGCUGGAGCGGGACUCUGGCAUACCUUUCACGAACUCCCAAAGGCAAGGAAAUGCUGUCAGGACAUCUUCAGCCUUUCUAUGAGAGGUUUCUCCAGAUACCAUUGUGCUUGGUAAAGACUGUUGGAUUUUAAGAAAGUAUUCAAAUUAAUUUGAUUAUAUGAAGAGAUGAGAUGACUACAAAAACUUGAAAAUAUGUGUACCAGAGAAAGAUCUGAUGAUUCUGUUGGACACGAGCCUGAAAAACUGACUUCUUCCAAUUGCUAUCUGUUGUGCAAUGUACACUUGCGCUUGUCCAUUGGUGGGAAUUCUCACAUGGAAGUACCAUCAACCAGAGGUGACAGUGGAUACCACUCACUACAAAGUACCACUAUUUAUUGACCUCACGUGCAAACGUAGACCUUGAAUCUGAAAAUCUUAUUCAAGCUUUAUACCAUUUUUUUAUAUUUUCAGUUUUCAGUGCUUCACCCAAAUGCCCCACAGACCUUUUAGACAUAAGGGAAUGUGAAACCUUGGCCUCCUUCCUGGCACACGCUCCUUGCAGCCCCAGCUGGCAGGAUGACGCUGGUAAUCCUGCUGCCUGCACAUCCACCACCUUGUUCCAUGCAGUGCUGGGUUUUUUUGGAUGGAGCUGGGUUUGCCUGCCUGAUGUUGGAUGCUUGUUUCAUCUAAGAAAAGCCCGGCUGGUCGUAGCCCAGAGCUCCUCACUGCAUCCCUCAGCCCAUGCAUGGUGAUAGGCUCUGUCGAAACUGCAUGGGCAUGAAGGCGUGCUCCAAACACAUCUCAGUAAUCUCCACAGGGAUGUCUUUCCACUCAUGGCAAUCAUUGCCUGGUUGAGGAGGAAGUUAAAAGCCAUUAAAAUCCACGCUUAAAGGCACCAACGUUUUGUAACCUGCUCGAGCUGCUGGUACGCUGGAACAGGUCUGAGCUCUCUUCCACCUGAACUCAAAAUCAGUUUAGUGGGCUCACUUGGUUGAGACCUUUUAAAUGUCUUCGGUUUUCAGCCUGAAGCCAUACAGAUGUGGUUCACCCAGCCUUGGGUCCAAUGCAGAUGUGGCCGGAUGAUGUAGGUUUUGUCUCAGCCUUCCUUUCUCUUCAUCUCCUACAGGACCCCUGCAAGACCAAGGAAGCUCUACUCUACACCAUGAAUUAAUCCCAGGGCUGGAAACUGAAUAGAGGAAAAGAUGAGAGGACACAACAGAUAUAAGCGAAGCCAGAAACAAAACUAUUUGGCACUUCCUAGCUUCUGCAGAAACACAGUAAAUCCUGCAAGAGUCUCUUCUUCCCUCACACUGAUACCCAAAUGCUAAAGGAUUCUGACCUUUGUGUGCUUCCCUGCUCAUCUUUCUCAGCUGAAAUUCCCUCCAACUGAAAACAUAACCUCUUUCUUCACAUUUUUAAUCUCUCUCAGAAGCAAAGGGAGCCUUUUCUCCUUCUGUCAUCACAAAUGAUGAGAAGAGCCGAUAAUCUCUAUCACAAGCUGGCUCAGCACCGCCUUCUGUGAGAUCUAGUUUCUACUUGCUCUCAAUCUCACCAGAGAUGUUUUCUACCUCAUGAUUCUGACUCAGAUUCAGAUAUUUUCAAGAAAGCAUCAGCUAAAAUGAUCACCUCUUUCUGAUAAUGUGUUUGCCAGAGAAUAUGGUAUGCAGUACACGGAAAAGUCACACAGUAAUCUUGCUAUCCAGACCACUUGCUUUGGAAAAAGUCCUUUCAGCAAAGGGAGCUGCUUAGCAGAAAGACCACCGAUGUGCCUUUCGCUGCAACAACCAUGAGAUUUGUACAAGAUCCCUCUGGGCAAAAAAAAAAAAAAAACAACAAAAACAAUCAGUUCACAUACAUUCAGCAGUACAUGCAGUGUAAUAUUUAGCAGCUAAAAAUCCCACAGAUUCUCCAUGAACUCGGUGGACACCAGGCUGAACAUAAGUCAGCAGUGUACCCUUGUCACUAAGAAGGCUUGUGGUUCUGUGGGCUGCAUUAGGCAAGGUAUCACCAGCAGAGUGAGGGAGGUUCCUUCCCCUCAGCACUGGUGAAGCCACAUCUGGAGUCCUGUGUUCAUCCGGGGGCCCCUCACUACAGAAGAGACACUGACAUACUAGAGUGUCCAAGGCCACAGAGAUGAAGUGGCUGCAGCACUCUCCUGUGAGGAGGAGCUGAGAGAGCUGCGACUGCUCAGCUUGGAGAAAAGGAGGCUCAGGGGGGGAUCACAUCAAUGCUUAUACAUACCUGAAAGGAGGAGGCAAAGAGAACAGAGCCAGCUUCAUUUCUGUGGUGUCCAGUGCCAGGACAAGAG